CAAUGGACGAAAGUCUGACUGGAGCAACGCCGCGUGAGUGAUGAAGGUCUUCGGAUCGUAAAGCUCUGUCGUCAGGGACGAACACAGUGCCGUACAGAUAGGGCAGCACCUGAACGGUACCUAACCAGAAAGCCACGGCUAACUACGUG
rnacentral:rRNA from 1 species